UCGAAACCUGUCCAAAACAGAACGACCUGUGAACCUAAGAUCAUCACUCACGGUGGGCCGUUUUCUUAGUUGAGAUCGUGCCUGCCAAAUCCGUGGUUUCACGAACAAUCCUUACUAGGAGCUCUAUCUCUGUUUGGGUUGUGCGCGUUGCUUCCGGAUAUCACAAAACAACGGCACAAAAAGUGUCAAGGAACAUGCAAUUGAACAGCCAGCGUUCGCCUCCCCGGAGACGGUGUGUGUGCGGAUGCUGUGUUGGGAUCUAAAGUCU
rnacentral:misc_RNA from 1 species